UAAUUCAAUUAACCUGUACAGUUAAUCGGAUACGGAUCCGUCACUUACAUAGAGCUGAAAAUGGGCUAAAACUUACGUUAAUUAAAAGAGGGUUUGAUCUUUCAUGCUAAACAUACUGAUACCACUUGUUCUGUGAUUUCAGAAGCGAAAAAAAACAACUCUACGACACAGGAGAAGUUCCUGAUUUAAAAAUUUCUGAAGGGAGCUGCUGACAGAGAUAGAAAACACAGAUUGUUUAUGUUCCUAGAUUCUUCCAUGCUGAUGGCCGUGCACUAGAGUUGGAGCGUAUCUCCUGUCGAAGAACAUACCUAGACAUUAUGAACCAUAUGACUAAGACUGAAAAUCAUCAAUAAACCACAAGAGUUUAGCGCCAACCCCAAUUAAGCAGACCUGAGCAGCUGAUCAAGGAUCACCAGAAACUUUGCAGAACGCUGGUCCUCCAUGCCCAGGACUGGACACCAGUGU